rnacentral:rRNA from 1 species
UACGUAGGGGGCAAGCGUUGUCCGGAAUCAUUGGGCGUAAAGAGCGUGUAGGCGGCUCGGUAAGUCCGCUGUGAAAGUCCAGGGCUCAACCCUGGAAUGCCGGUGGAAACUGUCGAGCUAGAGUCCGGAAGAGGCGAGUGGAAUUCCUGGUGUAGCGGUGAAAUGCGUAGAUAUCGGGAGGAACACCAGUGGCGAAGGCGAUCACCUGGGGUUGUUCUGACGCUGAGGAGCGAAAGCUAGGGGAGCAAACGGG